rnacentral:rRNA from 1 species
GUUAAAAAGCUCGUAGUUGGAUUUCUGUGUUGGUGAGGCGGCCGGCCACUCGUGGUUGUAGCUAGUUAUCACCGGCGCAUCUUGUCACAAGCCACGCUGGCUUUAAUUAGUUGGCGUUGGGGACUGACUCGUUUACUUUGAGAAAAUUAGAGUGUUCAAAGCAGGCUAUCGCCUUGAAUAUGUUAGCAUGGAAUAAUGAUAUAGGACUUUGGUUCUAUUUUGUUGGUUGUUCGAGAACCGAAGUGAUGAUUGAUAGGGACAGUUGGGGGCAUCAGUAUUCUGAAGCGAAGAGGUGAAAUUCUUGGACCUUCGGAAGACUAACAACUGCGAAAGCAUUUGCCUAGGAUGUUCUCUUUAAUCAAGAACGAAAGUUGGGGGAUCGAAGACGAUCAGAUACCGUCGUAGUCUCAACUAUAAACUAUGCCAGCUAGGGAUUGGUGGACGU